UACAGAGGUCUCAAGCGUUGUUCGGAUUCAUUGGGCGUAAAGGGUGUGUAGGUGGCGCCGUAAGUCAGGUGUGAAAUCUCGGGGCUUAACUCCGAAACUGCAUUUGAUACUGCGGUGCUUGAGGACUGGAGAGGAGACUGGAAUUUAUGGUGUAGCAGUGAAAUGCGUAGAGAUCAUGAGGAAGACCAGUGGCGAAGGCGGGUCUCUGGACAGUUCCUGACACUGAGACACGAAGGCCAGGGGAGCAAACGGG
rnacentral:rRNA from 1 species